UAAAGUUUUGGUCUACAUUACAGUACAUCAGUAAGAAAAAAAACUGAUUCAUAGUAACCCCAAGUGGGAAUUUGACUGGGAAUAUGAAGUAUUUUGGGUCUGUGAACUGAACUAGAAGCAGUGAUCCAGAAUUAGAGUCUCUCUGUCCCAGUUUGACAAUGUCCAAAAAGAGCAGCCAUGACGCAGUCCAUCUAUAUUGUGUGGUCAUGUGUCAUAAUCUCAAUUAACAGCAGAAAACUCACGUUACCAACUCAUUCAGUAACGUGGACGGAACAGAGGGCAAUUGGACAAACACACACACACACACACACACGGUCUGACACAAAAUGUGGUGUUGCUGUGGGUGAAUUAUUAGGGCUAAAUGUGUUCCUGCAACAGAUGGUGUGCCGAAGAACAGGCCAGAGAGACUGUCCGGCUGCCAGUGUCUGUGUGAUAGACAAGGACAUGGACAUAAAAAAGAAAGAAAAACAAAAAAAGAGGGCAGAUAUCAGGUGGUCUCUAACCUUGUGUGCCGAGUCGAUUUCAUCCUCCAGGCUGUCAGCGGGGCUCUCGGCCAUCAGGUUUACCCUGUCGUCGCCUGUGUCAUCAGGGCUGUGCAGCACAAGGCCAAGACCUUCAUCCAGGAUGUCCUCUAGAGGGAGCAAUAGAGAUGGACAGGCAGUAGCUUAGUCCCUUUAUUAAUCUGGGGUCACCACAGCAGAAUGAACUGCCAACUUAUCCAGCGCAUGUUUUACGCAGCGGAUGCCCUUCCAGCCGCAACCCAUCUCUGGGAAACAUCCAUACACACUCAUUCACACUCAUACACUACGGACAAUUUAGCCUACCCAAUUCACCUGUACCGCAUGUGUUUGGACUGUGGGGGAAACCUGAGCAUCCGGAGGAAACCCACGCGAACGCAGGGGGAACAUGCAAACUCCACACAGAAAAGCCAACUGACCCAGCUGAAGCUCGAACCAGCGACUAUCUUGCUGUGAUAUAUAAUAUAAUAUUUAUAUAAAGCUUUUAAAGGGGUCCUUUAAAAAAAAAUGUGUGCUCGUGCUUCAUUUGCAGAAAAUCAUGUUACUUUUUUCAUCUAUCCUACUUUGAUUAUAUACAGCUACUCAGCUAACAUGAAAAUCAUAUUUCCUAGUUCCUCCAAAAGGACCCGCUCUCAAGAGGCUCUGAUUGGUCAGCUAACAUAAUGUGCUGUGAAUCAUGAAUCCACUCCACAUCCCCAGGAAAAGCGUCACGAUCCUACAAGCAUGCGCUUUUGCACUGUGUAAACACUGUCAUUGAGAGUAGCUGUUAGCCGUAUGAUUUUGAGCCUGAAUCAGACAGAAAAUGAAGAGGACACAGCUGAACCCUAUGCCUGUUCUCUAAAAUAACAUCUGACAAGUGUCUUUCGCAUAUAGUCGGGUUAUAAGCAUGUGUAAGUAAUAUGAAACGUUUUGUUAUGAUUAGAUUUCCCCCUUUUUUGAGGAGUUUUUAGCCAAAUCCAGCACUGAACUGGGAAAGAUUCUGGAAGCUGUCCUUUGUCAAAUGCUACCUCUAUCUUUUUCAUAAUUCUCUAGAACAUAAUUAAAAUUAAA